UACAGAGGUCUCAAGCGUUGUUCGGAUUCAUUGGGCGUAAAGGGUGCGAGUAGGCGGCGCGGUAAGUCGGGUGUGAAAUCUCGGGGCUUAACUCCGAAACUGCAUUCGAUACUGCUGUGCUUGAGGACUGGAGAGGAGACUGGGAAUUUACGGUGUAGCGGUGAAAUGCGUAGAUAUCGAUAAGGAAGACCAGUGGCGAAGGCGA
rnacentral:rRNA from 1 species